rnacentral:rRNA from 1 species
CACUCCUGCGGGAGGCAGCAGUGGGGAAUUUUGGACAAUGGGCGAAAGCCUGAUCCAGCAAUGCCGCGUGAGUGAAGAAGGCCUUCGGGUUGUAAAGCUCUUUUGUCAGGGAAGAAACGGUGAGAGCUAAUAUCUCUUGCUAAUGACGGUACCUGAAGAAUAAGCACCGGCUAACUACGUGCCAGCAGCCGCGGUAAUACGUAGGGUGCAAGCGUUAAUCGGAAUUACUGGGCGUAAAGCGUGCGCAGGCGGUUUUGUAAGUCUGAUGUGAAAUCCCCGGGCUCAACCUGGGAAUUGCAUUGGAGACUGCAAGGCUAGAAUCUGGCAGAGGGGGGUAGAAUUCCACGUGUAGCAGUGAAAUGCGUAGAUAUGUGGAGGAACACCGAUGGCGAAGGCAGCCCCCUGGGUCAAGAUUGACGCUCAUGCACGAAAGCGUGGGGAGCAAACAGGAUUAGAUACCCUAGUAGUCCC